UGGUGCAGUCGUUAGAGCGCUCGCUUCGUAUGCACGAAGUCCGGGUUCGAAUCCC
rnacentral:tRNA from 1 species